UGCAAUGGCCAUGCCACCCUGAACAAGCCCAAUCCCGUCUGAUCUCGGAAGCCAAGCAGUGUUGGGACUGGUUAGUACUUGGAUGGGAGAGCACCUAGGAAGACCAGGUGCUGUAGGCA
rnacentral:rRNA from 1 species